rnacentral:rRNA from 1 species
GUUUUCACCCUCGGGUGACAGGGAGACAGGGUGGUGCAUGGUUGUCGUCAGCUCGUGUCGUGAGAUGUUGGGUUAAGUCCCGCAACGAGCGCAACCCCUACGUUUAGUUGCUAACAGGUGAAGCUGAGCACUCUAGACGAACUGCCGUUGACAAAACGGAGGGAGGUGGGAUGACGUCAAAUCAUCAUGCCCCUUAUGUUCUGGGCUACACACGUGCUACAAUGGCCGGUACAGACGGAGGCGAAGCCGCGAGGCGGAGCAAAUCCGAAAAAGCCGGUCUCAGUUCGGAUUGCAGGCUGCAAUUCGCCUGCAUGAAGUCGGAAUCGCUAGUAAUCGCAGGUCAGCAUACUGCGGUGAAUACGUUCCCGGGCCUU